UACAGAGGGGGCGAAGCGUUAUUCGGAAUUAUUGGGCGUAAAGGGCGCGUAGGCGGCCACGCAAGUCAGGGGUGAAAUCCCUCGGCUCAACCGAGGAAUGGCCUCUGAAACUGCAUGGCUUGAGACCGGGAGAGGGUGGUGGAAUUCCCAGUGUAGCGGUGAAAUGCGUAGAUAUUGGGAGGAACACCGGUGGCGAAGGCGGCCACCUGGACCGGUUCUGACGCUGAUGCGCG
rnacentral:rRNA from 1 species